GACAUGGUUUAGCUGCCUGACAGAAAGACGACAUGGUUUAGCUGCCUGACAGAAAGACGACAUGGUUUAGCUGCCUGACAGAAAGACGACAUGGUUUAGCUGCCUGACAGAAAGACGACAUGGUUUAGCUGCCUGACAGAAAGACGACAUGGUUUAGCUGCCUGACAGAAAGACGACAUGGUUUAGCUGCCUGACAGAAAGACGACAUGGCUCUCCAGAGGGUAGUGAGGUCUGCACAACGCAUCACCGGGGGAAAACUACCUGCCCUCCAGGACACCUACACCACCCGAUGUCCCAGGAAGGCCAUAAAGAUCAUCAAGGACAACAACCACCCGAGCCACUGCCUGUUCACCCCGCUAUCAUCCAGAAGGCGAGGUCAGUACAGGUGCAUCAAAGCAGGGACCGAGAGACUGAAAAAAGCUUCUAUCCCAAGGCCAUCAGACUGUUAAACAGCCACCACUAACAGAGAGGCUGCUGCUAACAUACAGACUUAAAAUCAUUGUCCACUUUAAUAAUGGAUAACUAGUCACAUUAAUAAUGUUUACAUAUCUCUCAUUACUCAUCUCAUAUGCAUGUACUGUAUCCUGUAUCCUUUACUAUCUAUUGCAUCUUAGCCGCUCUGUCUGCUCAUCCAUAUAGUUUAUACUUAUAUUCUCAUCCCAUUCCUUUACUAGACUGUUAGAUAUUAGGUUUGUUGUGGAAUUGUUAGAUAUUAGGUUUUGUUGUGGAAUUGUUAGAUAUUACNNNNNNNNNNUUAGCUGCCUGACAGAAAGACGACAUGGUUUAGCUGCCUGACAGAAAGACGACAUGGCUCUCCAGAGGGUAGUGAGGUCUGCACAACGCAUCACCGGGGGAAAACUACCUGCCCUCCAGGACACCUACACCACCCGAUGUCCCAGGAAGGCCAUAAAGAUCAUCAAGGACAACAACCACCCGAGCCACUGCCUGUUCACCCCGCUAUCAUCCAGAAGGCGAGGUCAGUACAGGUGCAUCAAAGCAGGGACCGNNNNNNNNNNUCACAGGGGGGGAGGGAGACCAGCACCAUACACCAGUCACAAGGGGGGAGGGAGACCAGCACCAUACACCAGUCACAGGGAGACCAGCACCAGACACAGGGGAGGAGGGAGACCAGCCACCAGACACAGGGGAGGAGGGAGACCAGACACCAGACACAGGGGAGGAGGGAGACCAGACACCAGACACAGGGGAGGAGGGAGACCAGACAAAGGGGAGGGAGACCGGCAGGUCUGUAAGCCGGCACCUUUCACAGAGUGGAGGAGGUGCCUGAAAAUCAUGGGAAAAACUACGAUGGCAGACUGGUGCCAAGGGAAGAGGAACUGAGAAGCAGCAAGACUGUUAUGGGGUCUGUUUUCUUCAGCCAAUCCUGUAUGAACUGAAGGAGAGAGGAUACACAGGGAAGGAGUCUGUCACGGGCUGGACAGAAGCAUGUCAACAUGAAGAGGACUUAGAGGGACAGAAUUGUGCUUGAGAUGCUAAAAUGAGUUGUGCUUCCUGUUUGUGGAUCUGUCAAAAGUGUUUGAUACUGCUUUUUUUAUUGAACAAGUUGUCCUCCACUGGCCUGAGCUCAUGAGAUCAUCAAUCACGAUGUCCUGAGUCCGAAUUUCUUGAAGUACGUAAAGGUGUUCCCCAGGGAUCGAUACUAGAACCUGCUCUUUUCAUUAUUUAUAUAAAUGCUAUUGGUCAAUUUGUUUAAUAAAAUAAUUGAACUCCUGUUUAAUACGGGCGCAGCUACAUGUUGUUUUCAAGUUCUCUUCUAAUGAUCUCAGAUGAUUCUAUAAUCAGACCAGGCCCAUAAAUCAGCCUUUAAUGUCCGUGCACCUUACGUGAGGAGUGAUCUACAAUACACUUUAAAUUGGAGGAAUUGAUGCCUCUAGAGCAUUUCAGACAGUUAUUAAGUCACCUUUUUACAAUUGGGUUUUGCUUUUCGUGUAUAAGAACAGGUAUUUUAAUAUGUACACUAUCAGCCAAAAGUUUGGACACACUUACUCAUUCAAGGGUUUUUCUUUAUUUUUACAUUGUAGAAUAAGUGAAGACAUCAAAACUAUGAAAUAACACAUAUGGCAUUAUGUAGUAACCAAAAGCCGCUGAUAAAGACAUGGUUUAGCUGCCUGACAGAAAGACGACAUGGUUUAGCUGCCUGACAGAAAGACGACAUGGUUUAGCUGCCUGACAGAAAGACGACAUGGUUUAGCUGCCUGACAGAAAGACGACAUGGUUUAGCUGCCUGACAGAAAGACGACAUGG
rnacentral:lncRNA from 13 species